AAUCCAUGGUGAGGACAUUUUCUAAGCAUCUCCUUAAAUCUCUCUCACCCUUCACUUAGUGUCUCAUCUUCAAAUUGUUGAAAAGCGACAACCUCAUUUCUGAACC